CUCUGUUCACGGAAAGGGCCUGGGAGCUGCAACACCUCAACAGCAACAAGCACACCUGCUACCUAGAACUUGGUUUCUAAAAACCAUCCUCCUCUAAAAGGAAACAGAGCUCUUUGAAGAAACGGUAUUCUAAUAAUACUGCGUGACAUUACGGACAACUUAGCCUAAAUUAUGGAAAAUCAAAUUAUUUAGUAGAACUGCAAGACAAUCCUCUCAGUUGUUGUACAGAAGGUAAGCAUGAGCAAAUUACUUUUUAGAGGUAACUUUGCUGAACUUGUGAAGAAUGGUGUGCAAGGUCCAGAGCGACUGCAGGAGAGGGAAGGUGGGAUUCCCACAGAGCAGGAGCACAGAUAAGCCAAGCAAGGCCCUGCUUGGAAGGCAGCAAUCAACAGAGAUGCACAGACCUGUGAGGGUGCCGGGACAGCCAUGCAACAAUGCAGCCCUUUUGCUUCCUGAGCUCACCAGUUCCCUCGCUCCACCUCUGAGAGGUGGUUUGGAGAAACACAGCCCUUCUCAAGAGGGCUGCAAGCUACUUAAGUCCUGAAAAUUUCCACAAGGCUGAGUCAAAUCUGCGUUUCAUCAUCUAUAAGAAAGGUACCUAUCGAGAACACCCUGCUGGCCAGUGUGUAAAUAUCUAAAGGAGGACUCAGAAAACACCGGGGAAGUCCAGCCUGCACGUGGUGGCUGGGCUUCAGUGAAGCAUGCAGCACAACAGGAGUUGUAAGUAGUAGUUACAUCAGCAGCCCUGGAAAUUCUGCUCAGAACCAAACUGAACAAAUAACAUUAUCUAAGGCUUACAAUUAUUUAACUCCCUAAAUUUUCUGUCCUCCCAGUAGCACUUUCAAAUGCCUAAAAGCAAUUAAAAGAAACAUUUUUCCAAUGUCUCACAGAACCAUUAGAAACACAAAAUUAAUAGCUUCAUAAACUAUAGCUUCUAUUUUAUCCAUAAUAGAAUGAAGGUGCAUAAACCACAUAGUAAUUAAUCUUUGGACAAAAGCAAACAAUAAAUGGAAUAUAUGGCUAA
rnacentral:lncRNA from 10 species